rnacentral:rRNA from 1 species
GAACGAACGCUGGCGGCAGGCUUAACACAUGCAAGUCGAACGAUAUAGUGGCAGACGGGUGAGUAACGCGUGGAAACGUGCCUUUCACUACGGAAUAGCUUUUGGAAACGAAAGGUAAUACCGUAUACGCCCUCCGGGGGAAAGAUUUAUCGGUGAAAGAUCGGUCCGCGUUAGAUUAGCUAGUUGGUGAGGUAACGGCUCACCAAGGCUACGAUCUAUAGCUGGUCUGAGAGGAUGAUCAGCCACACUGGGACUGAGACACGGCCCAGACUCCUACGGGAGGCAGCAGUGGGGAAUAUUGCACAAUGGGCGCAAGCCUGAUGCAGCCAUGCCGCGUGAAUGAUGAAGGCCUUAGGGUUGUAAAAUUCUUUCGCCAGGGAUGAUAAUGACAGUACCUGGUAAAGAAGCCCCGGCUAACUUCGUGCCAGCAGCCGCGGUAAUACGAAGGGGGCUAGCGUUGUUCGGAAUUACUGGGCGUAAAGCGCACGUAGGCGGACUUUUAAGUCAGAUGUGAAAUCCCGAGGCUCAACCUCGGAACUGCAUUUGAAACUGGGAGUCUAGAGAUCAGGAGAGGUUAGCGGAAUACCGAGUGUAGAGGUGAAAUUCGGUAGAUAUUCGGUGGAACACCAGUGGCGAAGGCGGCUAACUGGACUGAUACUGACGCUGAGGUGCGAAAGUGUGGGGAGCAAACAGGAUUAGAUACCCUGGUAGUCCACACCGUAAACGAUGAGUGCUAGUUGUCUGCAGGCAUGCCUGUAGGUGACGCAGCUAACGCAUUAAGCACUCCGCCUGGGGAGUACGGCCGCAAGGUUAAAACUCAAAGAAAUUGACGGGGGCCCGCACAAGCGGUGGAGCAUGUGGUUUAAUUCGAAGCAACGCGCAGAACCUUACCUACGCUUGACAUGCCCGGACGAUUUCCAGAGAUGGAUCUCUCCCUUCGGGGCCGGUGCACAGGUGCUGCAUGGCUGUCGUCAGCUCGUGUCGUGAGAUGUUGGGUUAAGUCCCGCAACGAGCGCAACCCUCAUCCUUAGUUGCCAUCACGUUUGGGUGGGCACUCUAGGGAAACUGCCGGUGCUAAGCCGGAGGAAGGCGGGGAUGACGUCAAGUCCUCAUGGCCCUUACGCGUAGGGCUACACACGUGCUACAAUGGCAGUGACAAUGGGAUAAUCCCCAAAAGCUGUCUCAGUUCGGAUUGUCGGCUGCAACUCGCCGGCAUGAAGUUGGAAUCGCUAGUAAUCGUGGAUCAGCAUGCCACGGUGAAUACGUUCCCGGGCCUUGUACACACCGCCCGUCACACCAUGGGAGUUGGAUCUACCCGAAGAUUGUGAGCUAACUUCGGAGGCAGCAAGCCACGGUAGGUUCAGCGACUGGGGU